UACGUAGGGUGCAGGCGUUAAUCGGAAUUACUGGGCGUAAAGCGUGCGCAGGCGGUCUCUUAAGUCAGGUGUGAAAUCCCCGGGCUUAACCUGGGAACUGCGCUUGUAACUGAGAGGCUUGAGUGUGCCAGAGGGGGGUGGAAUUCCACGUGUAGCAGUGAAAUGCGUAGAGAUGUGGAGGAACACCGAAGGCGAAGGCAGUGUCCUGGCGAGUGACUGACGCUGAGGUGCGAAAGCCAGGGGAGCGAACGGG
rnacentral:rRNA from 1 species